rnacentral:lncRNA from 10 species
GUCCCUGCUCUCAGGGGAAUUGUAUUUUAGGAAACAAAAAGAGACAGGUGAGGCUAGGCGUGGUGGCACACUCCUGGAAUCCCAGCACUUUGGGAGGCCAAGGCGGGCAGAUCACCUGAGGUCAGGAGUUCAAGACCAGCCUGGCCAACAUGGUGAAACCCCGUCUCUACUAAAAAUACAAAAAAAAACUAGUCAGGUGUGGUGGCGAGCGCCUGUAAUUCCAGCUACAUGGGAGGCUGGGAGAAUCGCUUGAACCUGGGAGGUGGAGGUUGCAGUAAGCCGAGAUCCCACUACUGUACUCCAGCCUGGGCGACAGAGUGGGACUCCAUCUCAAAAACAAACAAACGAAAAAAAACAGGUGCUCAUAGAAUUUCAUGAAAAACGUAUUGUCAGGGCUUCCAGAGGCUGAAGACGGGUUUCUAUGGAGGCCGUCCUGUUCAGAGCCACAGGUAAAGUGUAAGGGCUGGGUCCCAGGCCCUGCGUCUUAGGCCUCACCUAGGAGCCUUCUGAGCACUGCAGGGUCAACAUCCCAGGGGUGUGGCCAGUGUUUGCAGAGAGGCAGGGGUCUCUGUUGCUGUGGUUAAAUGUGCGCUCUCUGCCAAGUCCUAGAUGGCAGAACGUGGGGGACUAGGGCGUGUCCCCAGGCGCCCAGAGGAGACAUUCAUGAACUAGCCAUGGAACAGGAGGCCAAGUGACCCGUAUACCCCAGCAUUCCCCUGGGGCUGCGUUUCUUCUCACCAUUCACUGGUAUGGAGGUGAAGCCAUACCUCUCCGGGAGACUCUGAGAUGGCAGGUCUACCAGGCUGCCGACCCGUGUGCUACAGAGGAACAUCCCUGCCCUGGCUAAAGUCUGUCUGUCUCUCAGGUCCCCGUUCUCCGUGUCCUGCUGUCCGCUGACCUGAAGGGGUUCCAGUACUUCUCUACCCUGGAAGAAGCAGAGAAGCACCUGAGGCAGGAGCCAGGGACCCAGCCCUACAACAUCAGAGAAGACUCCAUUCUGGACCAAAAGGUUGCCCUGCUCAAGGCAUAAUGGGGCCACCCGUGGGCAUCCACAGUUUGCAGGGUGUUCCGGAAGGUUCUUGUCACUGUGAUUGGAUGCUGGAUGCCGCCUGAUAGACAUGCUGGCCUGGCUGAGAAACCCCUGAGCAGGUAACCCAGGGAAGAGAAGGAAGCCAGGCCUGGAGGUCCACGGCAGUGGGAGUGGGGCUCACUGGCUUCCUGUGGGAUGACUGGAAAAUGACCUCGCUGCUGUUCCCUGGCAUGACCCUCUUUGGAAGAGUGGUUUGGAGAGAGCCUUCUAGAAUGACAGACUGUGCGAGGAAGCAGGGGCAGGGGUUUCCAGCCCGGGCUGUGCGAGGCAUCCUGGGGCUGGCAGCACCUUCCCGGCUCACCAGUGCCACCUGCGGGGGAGGGACGGGGCAGGCAGGAGUCUGGGAGGCGGGUCCGCUCCUCUUGUCUGCGGCAUCUGUGCUCUCCGAGAGAAAACCAAGGUGUGUCAAAUGACGUCAAGUCUCUAUUUAAAAAUAAUUUUGUGUUUUCUAAAUGGAAAAAGUGAUAGCUUUGGUGAUUUUGUAAAAGUCAUAAAUGCUUAUUGUAAAAAAUACAGGAAACCACCCCUCACCCUGUCCACUUGGGUGAUCAUUCCAGACCCCUCCCCAAACAUGCAUAUGUACCUGUCCGUCAGUGUGUGGAUGUAUGUUUACAGUUCUACAUAAAUGGGAUCAUUUUAUACAUGGUGCUCUGGAACCCACAUUUUUCAUGCAGUCAUUUGCAGUGAAUUAUUUAUUGUGAUAAUAAAUAGCAUUAGAAUACAAGA